GCGCGGGAGCUCAGCUCCUCCCUCACGGCCCCCGGCGAAGCGGGAGGCGGGAAACGGCCGCCGCCGCCGCCGCCGCCACCCUCCCGAGCCCUCUCCCGGUGCCGUGUCGCCCGGGCGCCGCGCCCCUCUGCGUCCCGCUGACCUGUCAGUCCACCUCACGGCGGGAGCCGGCGGGGGCUGAGCCGGGACUCGUCAGCACCGCUGCCCCUCUCAGGCCCGGGAGCCCGCGUACCUGGCAGUCAGUCUUUCCGCAGCGCCGAGGAGAAAUGGCUUGAGAAAGACAUGUUGAAGAGGAAAAAUACGUUAAGGCUUGCCAAUCAGCUGACUGCAGCAGCAGCAGCAGCAGCAGCAGCAGCAGUGAUGCACAGAUCUGAUCUGCGUUGGCAAUAUACUUGUAAUUCGGACAUGCAUCUCCAGGACACCAGCCUUAGCAGGAAGGGGAGCCAAUCAAGGGGAAACAAUUAUGCAAAUUUAAAAUGUAAACUCUCUGGAGCCCCUGCCACAACCUGAUCUCUAUAAGAAUCAUGAUGUUUCCAAGGCAGCACAUGGUUUGGGGAAAUUGGAGAGAAUACUCCCGAUGGAAAGGGAUAACAUCACAGCUGCCACAACAAUGCUAUCCAGUGAGCAAAUGUCGGAUGUUCAGAGGGACCAAGUCAUCUUGAUUAGAAUCGUGGAGGGCAGCAUCUGAUGGUAGCUGGCUUGUGGUUUACCUGGCCUUUGGUUAGAUAACUGUGCCUGAUCCCUAUGGCCAGGAAGGAAGGUAGGGUCAUGUACUACAAAUUUUGACCUUGUACAUGAGGAAUAUAAAGACAAAUUAGCCACUGCCAGAAUGACUAAAAUUAAAAAGACUGACAAGGAUGGUGAGGAUUUGACACAUUGCUCCAAAUUUCAGACAGUGCUAAUGAAAAUGAAGAUCUGUACAACAAAAGUACAGGCCUACCUCAGAGAUAUUGGAGUGUUCAGUUCCAGACCACGCAAUAAAGUGAAUAUCACAAUGAAGAGCUGAAGAAUUCACAUUUGGGCUGAUGGGCCUGGGGUAGGGAUGACCAACAGACCACAUGCUUCUUGUCUCUUCUACUCCCUGAUCCUCUGAUAGACAGGGCUAAGUGAUCAUCCACUCCUUCCACCCUCCAGCCUCCGAGUGGGCCACUUUUCAAGCAUGGAAUUCCAGGUUCUGCACCCUCGGAUUCAACCAACCAAGGAUUGAAACUAUUUGAAGGAAAAGAACAAUAAUAAUACAAAUAAAAGCCAAUAACAAUAUAACAACUAUUUAUGUAGCAUUUACAUUGUAUUAGAUAUUAUAAAUAAUCUAGAGAUGAUUUAACGCACAUGAGAGCAUAUGCAUAGGUUAUAUGCAAAUAGUAUGUCAUUUUAUAUAAGGGAGUUGAGCAUCCACAGAUUUGGGUUUCUGCAGGGAGCCCUGGAAUCCUGUGGAUACCGAGGGACGAUUGUACAUUUUGAGAACCGAAGCCCGGUGCUACCCUGUUGCAGCGAUGAAGUAUCCAGGUCACCUGGAGAAAGCUGACAUAAGAGCAGGCACACAGCAGGAAGCUUUGAUCCUCAUCUUCUCUCUGGCUGCAGCCCUCAGCUCUUGUGCACCAACUCUGACCAAUGACUAGGACUGGCUGCUCGGAGUACAGCUGUAUUGAGAAAGAUUCUGAGGCUGGGUCUGCAUUCAGCAGGAAAAAAAAUGAAGUAAUUGUUUGGUAAUGCCUGACAUAGGCCUAAGAAUGGGGGAAACGGUAACCCUCCUGCCAGGUUUUGUAGAAUUUUCUCUAAUUCAUUUUCUUUAGAGAUACGGUAAGGACCCGCCCCCACCCAAAUGGGUAAAAGGCAAAGCCUGGUUUCCAUUUUUUUGUAAAGCCUCAGAUCACAGGGGCACCUGAGCCAUUAGUGUCCCAAUGGCAGGGCAAGGCAGGCAUGUCUAUAAAUCUCCAGUUUUUUGUUUGCUUAUUUUCUUCUUUAAACUGCUUACAAUUUCUCCUCUUUCAUCCUCAUUUCCACAGGAGGUGUAACACUAUGGACGAGUGGGCAACUGGCUCUUCAGGCUUGGAACCAAGAGGGGGCAGCAGAGAGCAGAGAAGAAUUGGUUGGCUUGGGCUGACCCAGACCUAGGAAAACUUCCAAUCUUCUUCUUCUUCCCUCAAAACCGAAUCCUUGUGGACUCACUCUUGAGACUAUUGUCCACACAAGUGGUGUGGUCCAAGGCCACAGCAAGAAAGGUCUGAGGGAGUUCUUUGGGGUUCAGGUGGAGAAAAGCCUGUGCUGGAUGCCAGGCUGCUCUGAGAACAGGAAGGAAGAUAAUAAUGUUAACAGCAACAGUUACAAUUACCCAGCCCCUGUAGGGUGCCAGGCCCUCUGCCAAGGUGCUUUCUUUUCAUUCUCUCAAAGACUACUUGAGGUGGGGAAACCCCCAGUUUACAGAUGAGAAAACAGGGUCCCAGAGUGGUUAAAUACCUUGCCCAUGAUCACGUGACUAAGGGAGGGCCAAGCCACAUUUUAGACUCUUGCCUGUCCUGCCCUCUGUGUUAUGGUGCCCUUCCAGGAAGGAGGCAGAAAGGUGCACCUGGAGUUAGAAUAUCCUUGGGGAGUGUCCCGGACCCAAGGGAAGGCAAACGGUCCUUCUGGUACAGACUGCUGUCUCCUGAUGGCCACGGGUCUCCUGACAGAUUUAGCCAAUUCACUGGCUCACAGGUCCAUGCACCAUCCUCAGCAGAGCCGGGGUAAGGUAGCUGGGCUCGAACAGCCCCAGAAAAAGGCAAAAAGAAAGAUAACAGAAACUUGUAUGGAACUUUCAAGUACUCACUGUGGAAGUCAUUGAUUUAUCUGCCUACUGUGAGAGUUAUGUCACGUUGGAAGGUCACAUUAGAACGCCCCUCACCUCCUGCAGCCUCAGCUCCACCCUGGGCUCAGAGAUCAAUCCUUGCCUUAUUUAGGGAAGCACAUCCAAGCAUAUUUGAAACUUUUGGGAUGGGCUUGGGGAUACUGGCACCAGGGACAUCUUGCUGUCAGUACUGUCCUGAUUCUGAGAACUCCACUAACGCCACAUUCCUCAAUCCAAGCCUGGAUCUGGGACUCAGGCUGCUGCCUCACUAAAUGCCUUAUCUUUUGGGUCACUGCAGACCAGGGCCCUGCCUUCUUUAGCCAAUGUCUGUUUCCCUCAUCUGGCAGUAGGACAUCAGUCUACCAAAAGAGUCACAUGUUCAUAUCCCAGCUUAGGUCCAAGUUGUGAACCAACUUCAUUUCUUAAUGUAAUCACUUUUUUGGUAUUGCUUUUUUUCUCUAAAAAGUAUGUAUAUUUUCUGAUCCUACAUGUAAUAUUUUCUGGGCCAGUUGCAGUGGCACACACCUGAGCUACUCAAGGAAGCUGAGGCGGGAGGAUCCCUUGAGCCCAGGAGUUUGAGGUUACAGUGAACUAUGAUUGCGUCACUGUACUCCAGCCUAGACAGCUAGCAAGACCCCAUCUCUUAAAAAAAAUUGUUAGAAAAUACUUUAAAGCAUCAAGGAGAAAAAAAUUUCUCCUAUCUUUCUGGAUACAUUUUUCUCAACUGCGCUUAUUACUAUCUAACACCGUCCUUUACUUAGGUUUUCAUUGUUUGUCUCCUUCUCUAGAAUGGGAGCUUGACAACAUGAGGGAUUUCAUGUUUUGUUCACUGCAAGUUCCUUAAUUCCCAGAACAAUACCUGGCACAUUUACAGAAUGAAUGAAUUAAUUCAUAAUGCCAUGACAUCAGAUAUAAUUUUAUUUAAUAUUAUAGAGGGAACAUUUUUCAAUGUCAAUAAAAUUUUUUCAAAAGCA